UAUUCUAUCAAGAGUUUCAUAUUCUUUGUUCUACUCUUUUGAGAGAGCCUCCAAAUAAAUUUUUUAUCGUGAUCUUAAACCUGAUAUUUCUCUGCGAGUUUCUUCACUUGUCAUUACGGAUAUUAAGUUGGGGCCUCCAAAUUAUUUCUUUGUGAUGAUUUUCAACUUGAUGUUUCUAAUUUAUCUGGGUUAGUUCCCAUAUCUUUUUGUUAAGUUCUUUUUAAUAAAACUGUUGUCUGAAAAGAAAGAGCUUGAUUGACUCAAAAGUAGCAAGUUGUGUGCUUGAAACCAAUCAGCAGAACCCUGGCAUUCUCCGCUGCUUAGAAGCUCGCUACAUGUUGUACAGCUGCCUUGAAGGUAUGUAUAUUGGAGAAACCUUCUUAAAGGUUUAGGUUUUCAUGAUUUUUGCAUCUUCAUUUAUGAAAUAAUCUAACAGUUCUAACUCCUGAAAAUAAACGGAAAAAUGCAAAGAAUUCCAAAGCCUGAAUCUUUUCUUACUUUUUCUUGCAUUUUCUGUUCAACCAAACGGAAAGGUGCAGUUUUUUCCAAUGGGGGUGGAUUACUCUUAUCCAAGGUUCACAAGGCUCACUCUAGACGGGUGUGUUUUUCAUCUUGGGAUCAUGAACCUUACAACUAAGAAAUUGCAGAACUGGUUCGUAUAAAUGGCAACAAGAAUGAAACCCUCGAGUGUCCUUACUGUCGUCGUAUGAAUGAGUUGUUUAUAUAUGUCCUCCCUCUGGAAAUUAAUCCUCACAUUGUGUAUGGCAUUUUUAUUCUUUGUACUAAUGUUAGACAACAAAGUAUCCAUUUAUGAAGUUUUAUUACCUUAAGCAUAUAUAUGACAUUUGACUAUGACACUACAUAAACAUUUGCUUGAAAGUUGUAAAAAGUUCGGAUUUUUUACACGCAAGUGCAUUAAUAUGAAACCAGAACAGGAAAAUCCUACAGGGAAAGUUAUUUAGCCCUCAGAUAGAAACACUGUUAGGAAUUCCUCUACCAGUGAGUCCAACUUCACUGCUAGGAACUAACAAAGUGUAAGUCAUCAAAACAGGACCAACACGGUUCUUCAAUUGCACAUCUUUAUUCAUCUCUAUAAUACCCUCCUCAAUCUUUUCCAGCUUCUUUCCAAAUUGUUUAAAGGCCUCUAAUGGCUUCUCAUCUGUUGUCCAUUCAGGUGUGUCUCGCUGCCCAAGAUAAACUUCAUCUGAAGCAUGCCUUGACAGAAUUUCUAUAAGAGAAAUGCCAAGAACAGUUUGCAACUGAGCAGUAAUAGUUUUAAGGAAGGCUUUUUCGGGGUU
rnacentral:lncRNA from 1 species